AAUAUACGAAAUAAAUAAUAUAAACAAUUCUUAUUGACAGUCUUAAAGUUUUAUAAUUAUAAAAAUGCAAUUUAUAUUGGGCAUGGGAUUAAUGUACAAUGCCCAUGGAACCAACUUGCAGACAUCGUUCUUUGGCCAACUAUCCCCUUUGGUUCAUCUUAGUUUUAUUUUAUUUUCUAAGUUUUUUUUUUUAAUUAAGAAAAAGGAUAGGAAAAAGGAUAUUUUCUUGACAACAAAGUGCCCUCCAGUAAUCUUUCCAAAUCUUCCUAAUUUAAAUUCCAAGGAUUUUUUGGUGGUAGUGUGAUAGAUCAGGAAAGAUUUCCUCUAAUUUUAUAAGACCAAUAUUGUAAAGUUAGGGCAGUAUGAGUUUUCAAACCGUACAUAAGGGGUUGGUUGGAGCCCAGUAUUUUAUUUGAAAGUCUUUUCAUUUACCCAGAAAAUAAAGGAUAACGCUUGAGCUGUUAGCUAGAUGGCUGAACGUUUUGCAAAUAUCCAUAACAGCUAUUUUGUAGAUAGACAAACUUUUUAUCCUUUUUGCAAAAUCACUUUGUGACAAGUUUUUGAAAUUUUGAUUAUGCCCAGAAAGCUGCCAAUUUAUCUACCCAUCCAUAUUACUAUUAAAACCUCAGCAAUUCAGAUCCUGAAUACUUGAAAUGUAAGAUGGUGCCCUCACUUUGUAGAUAGCAAUGUUGAGUUACUAUGGAAGGCUGUGGAACAGCAUAUCCCAAGAAUUGCUGGUGCAUGCUGGACUUGACAGUGUGAUAUUUUGCUGGGAUUUUCAGCACAGCAGUUUGCUAUAUUGUAAACUGCCCACAAAGGAAAGUAAUGAUGAUAGUGGCAAUGGGGAAUGUGUUAUGUCAGCUUUAGAAGGCAGUAGCUGACAGACUUGAACUGUAUCUAUCACUCCCCCAGGAUUCCUGUUUUGCAGUCUUAUGUCAACCACUCUCACAAGAACAUUGCUGAUGACUGAUUUUAACCCACUGGGAGGAUGGAAUGGGGAUCUCCACUGCUAUAAAGUCUUCACUGGCAAAACUCCUUUCUAUGAAAAUAUCUGUUUGGUGUCAAUAUCUUUAAAGUUACCUUUGGGGGGGCUUCAAAGGAAAGCAGAGAUGAUGAUGAUGAUGAAAAACCCCUCUAAUCAAACCAUCCAUCAAGCAAUAUCAGAUGAUUAGGGGCACUUGACAAAACACAAGUGUGUGUAAGUUUGCAUGUGUUAAGCCAAUUCUCAAUGACAACUAGGGUUGGUACACAAAGAAGCAAUAACCACCAGGAAUCUUCAUCACAACCUUUGGAUUUUUGAGUCAUUCCUUGCAAAGGUAACUCCUGAAUUAAUUGGCUAUUCUUGCAGUAACAAGAACACCCCCUCCCACAGUUCAACAGCUGCCAUCCUGGGGCAUGAUUAAGAACAACCUCUUUCUCUGUUUUCCAGUCAUCAGAAAAGACACCAAAUUCAAUCCUGGACUGUGGCCUAUGAAGAAGUUCAAUUGGAUUUUUUGAAGUUUAACUUGAAAAUAGUCCAUUAUUCUUUCAUCCCAAGAAAUGAUAGCUCUAAACCAGCGGUCCCCAACUUUUCUGGCUCUGUGGACUGGCAGCAUUAGGAUCAUUUUGCUGAGUUUUUGGGGGGUUUGAUGUCAGUGUAUCUUGAAGCAGGUUUUGUUAUACUUGUUGCAUGUAUCUGGAUGUAUAUUUCUGCUUGGAGAAUUCUUGGUAUUUCUCUUUUUCUCAAUGUCUUAAACUCUCAUUAGUUUCUUAAUCUGAAUAACAAUAAAAAACUGUUCAAAUCAGCAUCUUCAUUCUGUAUGGGACUUUAGUUUUUCACACAUAUUGUUAAUAG